AAAUGGAACCACAGCAGUAAGUAGCAGAGGGGACUGGAAGUGCAGCUGAUGGGGAUGCUGCCCGAGUGAGCCUGCGUGUGGUAGCCUGGUGCGGGCGCUAAUGUGUUUGUUUAUGGCUAAUUGGGUGUUUCUGUCUCGCUUGGUGGAAGUGCACAGGGCGGCCUGCAAGCUGUUGCAGAAUCCCCAGGAGGCUUCCCACGUUCAGGUGAAAGAGGCCCAACUUGGAGAAUGCCGGUCAAACCCAUCUGGCAUGGGUCAGUAAGAGAUCACUUCAGAGCCACAAGCGUCCCUAGAUCAAAGCUUGUAACAGGUUGGGCAGGCUCCGCCUGCACUAGAAGACUAGCUCUACCUCCGCUACGCUCCCCUGCCUCCAGAGCCCGCUCCUUCUCCACCCUUGCUCCACAGUGGUGGAAUGACCUUCCUACAGAUGUCAGGACUGCCCAGUCCCUGACCACAUUCCGGCGCCUCCUUAAGACUCACCUCUUCAAACAGCACCUGUAGAACUCCUCUGUUUGUAUCCUGGGACAUUAUCACCCUUCAUUUAAAUGUGCUUUAUUUUGCUCUUAUCUGCCCCCUAUUUUACUGCAUUUAAUCCUGUACUUCAGAAUACUGUAAUCUGCCAAGUGUUUAACCUGUAGUACUUUGUAUUUAAUCAUAUCCUGAUGUAACUAUCACUAUUAUCUGCUGUAUUAUUGAAUUGUGGUUUGUCAUACUUGUACUUUGCUUGAACAAAAGUUAUUGUAUUUCUUGCUCUUAUUGUAUUACUUGUAUUGUAACACUUGAAAUGUAUUUGCUUACGAUCGUAAGUCGCCCUGGAUAAGGGCGUCUGCUAAGAAAUAAAUAAUAAGAAGAAAUAAAUAAUAAUAAUAAAAACAAAUGGAGACGUUCAAAGCAAUACUAACAGUUCCUGCUGUUACAGAUGAACACUGUGUGUCCCUUUGACAAAGUCUAUUAAUUAGACAAGAAUAGUAGCUUGUAGACCAGGGGAUUCAUGUGUAAUGCCACUCUCAUCCCUUGAGGUCUAUUUAUUAGAAGCCCAUAAUGAUGGCGUUAGUCUGCAAUAUCAGUUCCUUCAAUAGAAAUCCCAUUGAGAACGCCAAGACCAGUAUUCUUUUUUUUACAUCCCCUAUCCCCAGUAACCUUUCCAAGGGCACUAUUGUAUCCCUGCUCUACUAAUUAAGAUAGACUUAAUGGAUUUUUUUCUGUAAAAAAAAAAAAAAUCUUAUUUUACAAAGAGCUGGAAAAAAAUUAAUGUACCAUGUCUUUACACUGAUAAAGAA